CGGGUGGAUAUAUUUUGUGGAAGUCAGUAGACAGGCUUAGUUGAAUUUUGGAUUUGGAAGCAGGCAGGUGUGUUGAGGCUUUUAAUUUUCAAGUGUUUGUGUCUUAAAGUUUCGUAGGUCCAAGAUGUGUUUCAAGGGUAAACUCUUAUACUGCAUUCCAGCUAGGACAGCCUGCUUUAUUCUAGCUAUUAUAAAUGCGAUAGCUAAUUUGGUGAGCCUGGGCUACUUCAGUUUCAUGGGAAUUAUAGCCAUUAUAGUACUUUCAUUCGGCGACUUUGGUUAUGGCGGUAUGAAAGUAGGCGGUGUCCGCUUCAAGUGAAGCCUAGGGGAUGUUACGGAAGAAAUGGUACACGACUAUUGGAUUCCUUUCGAGUACCUCCUUCCCUUAUGCUAGCUGUUUUCUGUUAUCACCUUCGCCUUUUCCAUCGUGCUGUGCUGUGGACUUGAUAAUCGUAAGCGAGACAAGUGAGAGCGUAUCUGAUCUACGGCUGUGUGGUUACGCUACUCGCCUUCUUUGCGUCUAUGGUCCAGAUUAUCAUGAAGGAAAACCCGGAGCUUGGUCUGUGGGGGCUCUUAG